GGAAUUGAAUGGACACAGGAAGUUGGGCAUUUUGACUGACAGAUCUGAAUAGUAAACAACAGGAUUAUUUGGAACUCUAAAGGGAACACAGAAGGAAAAAGACAUGGCAGCCUGAUGGAAGGAAGUACCGGUCAGAAACUGAUAGCAAAGCUAAGGCAGCCCUCUCCGUGACCGACUCUCUCCAGAGGAGCAAACAGGCACCAACCAAGGGACGAACUGUCAGCUCCCUGUACACACCCGAGACGCGAGGUCCUACCCUACUUAAGUUAACCCUUUGCAGUCCAUUUAUUAAGAUUCUACGUAGUGGUGCUGUAGAGGGGGGAUCGAGCCCGAAGGGAGCAAAUACAAGCCUACCCUGGGACAAACAAACAGACUGGGGGUUCUUGGAUCGGUCACCUUCAACUUUACCUGUCCUUGUUGGCGUUUCUACCAGGACAGUAGGUGGCGACUUGGAUUAAGUACAGAACCUACAAACUGAGUUUUCUAGGCCUUUUGAGGCCCAGGUGAAUAUACUGGAACUAUUGUUUCACCAAACUGCUGCUUCUAUUGUUCGGGACUGUGUUGUGGUAAUAUAAUGUGUGGAAUUGAAUAAUUGUAAUAAUAAUAUUCCCCUGAAGUCACAAGUAGCCUGCUGACAAUGUUUUAUGGAAGGUUUUAGUGGUUUUACUUAGCACAGUUUUAGGUGUUUUUAGAAUAGGUUUUGUAUUGAGAUACCGUGCUAGGUGGUUGAAAGGGGAUUUUGCAAA